AACCUGCGCGCCGUUCAUGGUUGUCUGCCCUAACCAGCAGACAUGAAAAGGGAAUCCGGUGCCGCGCCCCGCGCGCUCAACCCGGAGCUGCCCCCGCAACUGUAAUCGGCGAGUCCUGCGCCCUCUCUGCCACUGGAAUCUUUCCGGGAAGGCUGGCGCAAGGCGAUGACCCGUGAGCCAGGAGACCUGCCAUGCACAUCACCUUCAA
rnacentral:ncRNA from 2 species